GAUGAACGCUAGCGGCAGGCCUAAUACAUGCAAGUCGAACGGUGUCUUCGGACAUAGUGGCGCACGGGUGCGUAACACGUAUGCAACCUACCUUACAUUGGGGGAUAGCCUUUCGAAAGGGAGAUUAAUACCGCAUAAGACAGUAGCUGGGCAUCCAGCAGCUGUUAAAGAUUUAUCGAUGCAAGCUGGGCAUGCGUCCAAUUAGCUAGUUGGUGAGGUAACGGCUCACCAAGGCAAUGAUUGGUAGGGGAACUGAGAGGUCAAUCCCCCACACUGGCACUGAGAUACGGGCCAGACUCCUACGGGAGGCAGCAGUAGGGAAUAUUGGGCAAUGGACGCAAGUCUGACCCAGCCAUGCCGCGUGCAGGAUGAAGGCGUUAUGCGUUGUAAACUGCUUUUAUACAGGAAGAAACGACUCUUGCGAGAGGCAUUGACGGUACUGUAUGAAUAAGCACCGGCUAACUACGUGCCAGCCGCCGCGGUAAAAC
rnacentral:rRNA from 1 species